UCUGUAGGUGGUCCAAUAAGUCAACUGUUAAAUCUUGAGGCUCAACCUCAAAACCGCAGUCGAAACUAUUAGACUAGAGUAUAGUAGGGGUAAAGGGAAUUUCCAGUGGAGCGGUGAAAUGCGUAGAGAUUGGAAAGAACACCGAUGGCGAAGGCACUUUACUGGGCUAUUACUGACACUCAGAGACGAAAGCUAGGGUAGCAAAUG
rnacentral:rRNA from 1 species